rnacentral:lncRNA from 1 species
CGUUUCUCUUCUCUUCUUGUUCCCAGGAGACUCGGCGAUGGCCCUGACCAUGCCUGCCCAGCGCCCUCUGCCCUCCAGGCCCCUGGCCUUCACAUGGACCCAGCGAGACCUUCCCCUCUUCUGGCCCUGAGAGCCUGGCCACGGCUGUGCUGCUUCUCCAGUGUGGACGCUGAGCUCUGCGGGACGUUCUGUCGGGGUUUUACCUGUGAACCCGGCACUGAGAUCAGGAAGCGAGUGACCAGGGCAGCGCUGCCCGCUGCGCUCCUCCACGGCGAUUCUUGUUGGGAGCCACGGCCUGGUCGGGGAGAUGCCUGGCAUUUGCCAGAGGGAAUGUUUGAAAGGUGACGCCAGCGAACCAUUGAGAUGAUUUGAGUCAAGCUGUAUGUAACUGCUGUGAUGCUGGAUUGAUGGUCUUGUAUAUUUGACCUUCACUGUCGGGCCAAGGGACGGCUCUUGCUGCCUCGGGCGCCCGCUGCUUUGGAGCUCUCGUGGGGAUUCCUGGAGGGUUUGCGUUGGUUGGGGAAGGUCUGGAGGAGGGAUUUCUGGUUGGUGAGGGGUGUGCCUGGAGGAGCUGUGUGUGUGGCGUUCGGGAGAGGUUCCCGGGGAGCGUGUGUGGAGUGUGCUGGUGGAGUUUGGAAAUAAAGUUUGUUCCUGCUUGAGUG